GACAGAGGGUGCAAACGUUGUUCGGAAUUACUGGGCGUAAAGCGCGUGUAGGCUGCUUCGAAAGUCGGAUGUGAAAGCCCUGGGCUCAACCUAGGAAGUGCACUCGAAACUUCGAAGCUGGAGUCCUGGAGAGGAAGGCGGAAUUCUCGGUGUAGAGGUGAAAUUCGUAGAUAUCGGGAGGAACACCGGUGGCGAAGGCGGCCUUCUGGGCCAAUACUGACGCUCAUGCACGAAAGCGUGGGGAGCAAACAGG
rnacentral:rRNA from 1 species